CUGGUUGAUCCUGCCAGACCCGACUGCUAUCAGAGUGGGACUAAGCCAUGCGAGUCAACGUAGCAAUACGUGGCAUACGGCUCAGUAACACGUAGUCAACAUGCCCAGGGGACGAGGAUAACCUCGGGAAACUGAGGAUAAACCACGAUAGGUCAUGAUUUCUGGAAUGAUUCAUGGCUCAAACCUACAUGGCCCCUGGAUUGGACUGCGGCCGAUCAGGCUGUUGGUGAGGUAAUGGCCCACCAAACCUGUUACCGGUACGGGCUCUGAGAGGAGGAGCCCGGAGAUGGGCACUGAGACAAGGGCCCAGGCCCUAUGGGGCGCAGCAGGCGCGAAACCUCUGCAAUAGGCGAAAGCCUGACAGGGUUACUCUGAGUGAUUUCCGCUAAGGGAAUCUUUUGGCACCUCUAAAAAUGGUGCAGAAUAAGGGGUGGGCAAGUCUGGUGUCAGCCGCCGCGGUAAUACCAGCACCCCGAGUGGUCGGGACGAUUAUUGGGCCUAAAGCAUCCGUAGCCGGUCCUGCAAGUCUUCCGUUAAAUCCAGCUGCUUAACAGAUGGGCCGCGGGAGAUACUACAGGGCUAGGAGGCGGGAGAGGCAAGCGGUACUUUAUGGGUAGGGGUAAAAUCCGCUGAUCCAUAGAAGACCACCAGUGGCGAAGGCGGCUUGCCAGAACGCGCUCGACGGUGAGGGAUGAAAGCUGGGGGAGCAAACCGGAUUAGAUACCCGGGUAGUCCCAGCUGUAAACGAUGCAGACUCGGUGAUGGGUUGGCCUCGCGCCAACCCAGUGCCGCAGGGAAGCCGUUAAGUCUGCCGCCUGGGGAGUACGGUCGCAAGACUGAAACUUAAAGGAAUUGGCGGGGGAGCACCAC
rnacentral:rRNA from 1 species